rnacentral:tRNA from 2 species
GCCCCGUGGUCAAGCGGUUAAGACACCGCCCUUUCACGGCGGUAACACGGGUUCGAGUCCCGUCGGGGUCA